rnacentral:rRNA from 1 species
UCGAGGGGCAGCGGUGGUGAAGGCUUGCCUUUACCAGCCGGCGACCGGCGCACGGGUGAGUAACACGUAUGCAACCUGCCUGCCACAGCCGGAUAAUCGGGAGAAAUUCCGUCUAAUACGGCAUAAUGCACCUAUGGGACAUCCUGUUGGUGCCAAAGGUUAAUUCCGGUGGCGGAUGGGCAUGCGUCGCAUUAGUUAGUUGGCGGUGUAACGGACCACCAAGACGACGAUGCGUAGGGGUUCUGAGAGGAAGGUCCCCCACACUGGUACUGAGACACGGACCAGACUCCUACGGGAGGCAGCAGUGAGGAAUAUUGGUCAGUGGGCGGGAGCCUGAACCAGCCAAGUCGCGUGAGGGAUGACGGCCCUAUGGGUUGUAAACCUCUUUUGCCGGGGAGCAAAGUGCCGCACGUGUGCGGUUUGGAAAGUACCCCGAGAAAAAGCAUCGGCUAACUCCGUGCCAGCAGCCGCGGUAAUACGGAGGAUGCGAGCGUUAUCCGGAUUUAUUGGGUUUAAAGGGUGCGUAGGCGGACGCUUAAGUCAGCGGUAAAAUUGCGGGGCUCAACCUCGUCGAGCCGUUGAAACUGGGUGCCUUGAGUGGGCGAGAAGUA